GCAUAUUCCAAUAAAUAACAUAUCCAGAAUACUUAGAGAAUUUCCACAAGUCAGUGAUAAAAAACAAUCUGGAAUGAUGGAGGAGGAGUGUAGCAAGAUAGCCAAAUGCAAUGUUCCACUGAUCGUUCCCUCUGCAAGGACACCAAUUUAACAACUAUCUACACACACACAUACACACAAACACAUACCUUCAUAAAAAGCAAAAAUCAGGUGAAUACUCACAGUAUCUGGUUUUAACUUCAUAUAGCUGAAGGAGGCACCAAGGAGGGCAGCAGACAAUCUUGAAUCAGCAGUGCCACUACUCCCCCAUCUCCUACAGUUGCCAGUGGCAUGAAGAGAGAUUCUCUAUGCUUGGAAGAUUGAGAAUGCAGCAAAUGACAGACAUUACAUAGAACUCAGCAGUAUCUCGUCACAGUAGAAAGCCAAACUGGGCUGAACGCAGCUGAUGCUCACCCAUGGAGGGAAUAUUUAAACCAGCCCUAGCCAGAAGAUUUAUUGCUUUCACCAAAGCUAUGAAGAAAAUAUACAGAAUCCCAUCUUAUUUAAGGAGAGAUUUUAUUGUCCAUAGAUUGAUAUAUCAGGAUGCUGAUUGAAUCCAUGGAUGGAGAAUGCAUAGAUAUGG
rnacentral:lncRNA from 1 species